rnacentral:lncRNA from 1 species
CGGACCCCCCCCGAGUCGUUCACCCCCAUCUCCAGCUCCCCACGCAGCCCCCGUGGCUUUUUGGGGUCUGACCCCGCUCUGUGCCCCCCCCCAGGGACCCCCAGGAGCGCCAGGACCCCGUGGGCCGCAGGGACCCAGCGGUGCCGAGGUGAGUGCAGCCGGGGGGGGGGGGGGGGCUCGGCUGGAAUUUGGGCUGCUGAUGGGUACCCCCCCCCCCCAAAUCCUCUUGCUUUUAGGGUCCCCAGGGAAUGCCAGGCGGUGUGGGACAGCCGGGGGCCGUGGGAGAAAAGGUAAGGAUGUGGCUGGGGGGCGGGCGGGGGGGGGCGAUGGGGGUCUCGAGGUCUGGGGGGAGCCAGGGGGUUUUGGGGGGGGGGGCACGUGCACCUCCCAGCGCCCAGUGGCCCCCCCAGUGGCCUCGUUUUUCUCUUGGGUAGGGUGAGCCCGGUGAAGCCGGGGACCCCGGAGCCCCUGGAGAGCCUGGCCCCCCCGUGAGUAUUGCACCCCAAAGGGGGUGUCCCUUUGGGGGGGGGGGACAGAACCUGGCAAACGUUUUCCUGCCCAAAAUGCCCCAAACCCCCCCGCUAUGAUCGCUCCCCCUCCCUCCGCAGGGUGUGAAAGGAGACGUGGGGGAGAAGGGAGACGCGGGGCCGUCGGGGGCAGCCGGCCCCCCCGGCAAAAAAGGCCCCCCCGGAGAGGAUGGAGCCAAAGGCAACCUGGGUCCCAUCGGCUUCCCAGGGGAUCCCGGCCCCCCCGGAGACCCCGGCCCACCGGUGAGUUUGCCCCCCCCCCCCACCGUGCCCCAGUGUCACCCCCUGUCCCCACCCCGGGCUUGGGGAUGGGGGGGACACCGCGGUUCUCUCCCCCUCGAGGCACCCCAAAACCUCGGGGAGGGGGCUCGGGGGGGGGCAACAGCACAAAUGCUCCCCCCACCCCGUGUCGCAGGGUCUGGACGGGGCUGUUGGAGAGAAGGGUGACGGUGGGGACCCCGGCCUGCCGGUGAGUGGGACAGCGGGGGGGGGGCUUAAACCCCCCCUCCCCGGGGGUCUUGCACAUCCCGUGUCCCCCCCAGUCCCCACUUUGGGGCCAUUUUCACCCCAAAGUCCCCCCCCCCCCCGGCUUUGUUUUAGGGUCCGCCGGGCGCAUCAGGGGAACCGGGACCCCCAGGCCCCCCCGGGCGGAGGGUGAGUAGGGGAAGAGCAGAAUGGGGGGGGGGCACAGUGGGGCUGCAAAUGGGGCCAGCCACAGCUCCUGGUGCCCCCCCCCCAUUUUUCAGGGACCCGUGGGACCUGUGGGGCGCGAGGGCCGUCAGGGCGAGAAGGGUGCCAAGGUAGGUGGCCCCCCCCUGACCCCCCCAAAAUUCACUGCCCUAUAGAAGGGGAGGCUCGAGCCCCCCCCCAGCCCAGGGCAGGACGCGGUGUGGGGUCAGCCUCAGGUCCCCGUGUCCCCCCCCCACCCCGUGUCCCCAGGGGCAGCCCGGCACCGAGGGGCCACCCGGGAAGACGGGACCCGUGGGGGUGCAGGGACCCCCAGGGAGACCGGGAUCCGAAGGGCUGCGGGGGAUCCCCGGCCCCGCGGUGAGUGUUGGGGGUGGGGACAGUGGGGAGGGGGACAGUGGGAUGGGGACAUUGGGAUGGGGACAGUGGGGACAGGGACAGUGGGGAAUGGACAAUGGGGAUGAGAUAUGGGGAUGGGGACAUUGGGAUGGGGACAGUGGGGAUGGGGACAGUGGGGACAGGGGCAUUGGGGUAGGGGACAUUGGGAUGGGGACAGUGGGGACAGUGGGGGUGAGCUACAGGGAUGGGGACAGCAGGGACAGGGCAAUCAGGGAUGGGAUAUGGGAUGGGAUAUGGG